rnacentral:rRNA from 1 species
UACGGAGGGUGCGAGCGUUGUCCGGAAUCAUUGGGCGUAAAGGGCGCGUAGGUGGCCCAGUAAGCGUGCGGUGAAAGCUCGGAGCUCAACCCCGAGUCGGCCGUGCGAACUACUGGGCUGGAGCACUGUAGAGGCAGGCGGAAUUCCGGGUGUAGCGGUGGAAUGCGUAGAGAUCCGGAAGAACACCGGUGGCGAAGGCGGCCUGCUGGGCAGUUGCUGACACUGAGGCGCGACAGCGUGGGGAGCAAACAGG